rnacentral:rRNA from 1 species
UACAGAGGUCCCAAGCGUUGUUCGGAUUCAUUGGGCGUAAAGGGCGCGUAGGCGGCCAGCACAAGUCAGUUGUGAAAUCUCCGGGCUUAACUCGGAAAGGUCAACUGAUACUGUGCGGCUAGAGUGCAGAAGGGGCAACUGGAAUUCUCGGUGUAGCGGUGGAAUGCGUAGAGAUCGGGAAGAACAUCAGUGGCGAAGGCGGCCUGCUGGGCUGUUGCUGACGCUGAGGCGCGACAGCGUGGGGAGCAAACAGG